rnacentral:rRNA from 1 species
UACGGAGGGUGCAAGCGUUGUUCGGAAUUACUGGGCGUAAAGCGCGCGUAGGCGGUUUGUUAAGUCAGAUGUGAAAGCCCAUGGCUCAACCAUGGACGUGCAUUUGAAACUGGCAGACUUGAGUAUUGGAGGGGGUGGUGGAAUUCCCGGUGUAGAGGUGAAAUUCGUAGAUAUCGGGAGGAAUACCAGUGGCGAAGGCGACCACCUGGCCAAAUACUGACGCUGAGGUGCGAAAGCGUGGGGAGCAAACAGG